GGCCCCAUAGUGUAGUGGUUAGCACAUCUGCUUUAGACAGAGAAGGUCCUGGGUUUGUGCGCCAGGUGGAGCCA
rnacentral:tRNA from 1 species